AUGAUGGUUUGUGCACAGGUGGAUGGGUCAAUGUGGGCCACUAUCCUGGCUCUGAUCUGGUUGUACAGCUGGAGAAAAGAGCAGCAGGUGGAGUGGCAGUUUGUGGCCCAAAAGGCAGCGGCAUGGAUCGCUUCUGAGAAAGUGGGCGAUCUGUCUCAGUGUGUGUGUGUGGGUAAUGUCCUGCUCGGAUGUCAGGUCACCAAAGACUCUCUGGGGAUCUGAAGAUAUCAGAAGACCAAAGAACAGACGCAAACAUCAACAGCUCAGCAACUCUCGGCACAACAAAAAACUUCAACUGUAAAACAACCACUUUUUAAUUUCCCUUUUAAAAACACUCUUAAUUUGAAUCUCUUUAAAAAUAGUGGGCAAAACAUUCCAAGCAGCAGAGCUCGUACACAAGAAAGAAUUUCUACCUGAUUCGCUCUUAACUCUAUACGGGUAAAUAUCCCUGCUACUUGCUCUUGUAGAAUGACAGUGCUCCUCACUAACUAAAACAUAAUAAUUAAGAAAAUAUUUGAGACCAUUUUCUUUUAAAAUCUUAAAAACCAUCACUAAUUUUAAAAAUGUUACCAUUUUAUCAACUUUUAAAAAAUUACUUAGACUAUAAUGUUCAUUAUUUAAAUGUGUCAGUGGAGGUGCUUUUAUAAUGAUUCUACACAACUUAUUUUGGGUCGUCUGCAAUUUAUUUUAAAUUUUUUUUGAACUACCGCUGUACCAAAAAGCUGCAGCAUAGUCAAAGUAUGGCUGCACUAAUGCACUAGCUAAAACAUUAAGAGUUUGGGUAUCUAGGAGCUCUGCCUGUCUUGCUAAAAACUUCAUUCUAGAACAAAUUUUUGAAAGGACUAUAACAGCCAUCUUUUCACCUGUCAAAUUACUGUCUAAAGUGCAACCAAAGUAUUUCACUACCUGUUUUGGAGUAAUAAUUUGAUCCCCUACUUUUAUCUUUGCCCCAACACAUUUUCUUAAUUUCGCAGCUGAACCAAAUAAAAUAAAUUCAGUUUUACCCAAAUGUAAGGACAAUAUAUUAAGACAAAACCAUUUAGAGACUUCCUCAAUUUGUUCACUUACCUCCACCAUCAUUAGGCAUUUUAGGUUCCAAAGUAAAAAAAAAAC